CAUUACCUAGAGUUGUGGGCUUUGCCUGCUAUCUCUUACCCAUGUCUUUUGAGUACUUACGUUUCCUCGGUGGGUUCGCCCGCCGAUUGGACAAUUUAAACCCUUUGCAGUUGCAAUCAGCGUCUGAAAAACUUAAUAGUUACAACUUUCAACAACGGAUCUCUUGGUUCUGGCAUCGAUGAAGAACGCAGCGAAAUGCGAUAAGUAGUGUGAAUUGCAGAAUUCAGUGAAUCAUCGAAUCUUUGAACGCACAUUGCGCCCCUUGGUAUUCCAUGGGGCAUGCCUGUUCGAGCGUCAUUUGUACCUUCAAGCUUUGCUUGGUGUUGGGUGUUUGUCUCGCCUCUGCGUGUAGACUCGCCUUAAAACAAUUGGCAGCCGGCGUAUUGAUUUCGGAGCGCAGUACAUCUCGCGCUUUGCACUCAUAACGACGACGUCCAAAAGUACAUUUUUACACUCUUGACCUCGGAUCAGGUAGGGAUACCCGCUGAACUUAAGCAUAUCAAUAAGCCGGAGGAA
rnacentral:rRNA from 1 species